UCUGACCCAGCCAUGCCGCGUGCAGGAAGACGGCGUUCUGCGUUGUAAACUGCUUUUAUCUGGGAAGAAAAUGCCCCUGCGGGGGAAAUUGCCGGUACCAGAUGAAUAAGCACCGGCUAACUCCGUGCCAGCAGCCGCGGUAAUACGGAGGGUGCAAGCGUUGUCCGGAUUUAUUGGGUUUAAAGGGUGCGUAGGCGGCUGUUUAAGUCAGUGGUGAAAGACUCCGGCUCAACCGGAGCAGUGCCAUUGAUACUGGACAGCUUGAGUAUUGGAGGGGUACAUGGAAUUGAUGGUGUAGCGGUGAAAUGCAUAGAUACCAUCAGGAACACCGAUAGCGAAGGCAUUGUACUGGCCAAUAACUGACGCUGAUGCACGAAAGCAUGGGUAGCGAACAGGAUUAGAUACCCUGGUAGUCCAUGCCGUAAACGAUGAUUACUCGCUGUUAUGCCUUUAUGGUGUAGCGGCCAAGCGAAAGCGUUAAGUAAUCCACCUGGGGAGUACGCUCGCAAGAGUGAAACUCA
rnacentral:rRNA from 1 species